AUCACGGAAGGACGUCUUAAUAUUCAGUCGGAGACUUCUUUUUUUCUCCUCUUUGACAUCCAGAUGAUGUGAAGUCGUGGUAAUUCAGUCGCUGUUCACUCCCUGUACUGCAUAAUUUUCUCGCCAAAUGACUUCUGCAGCCGUUUUCUCAUUGACCUUCCUUCCAUCGUUAGAUCAGAAACUGGGCAGUCCACUAAUUGAACACACAACCUUGAAUACCCUUUGCAACUUGUCAAUGCUGCCUGACCCGCUGAAUUCCUCCGGCACUUUGUGUUUUACUCGAGACACGUUAGUAACGCUCGGACACAGAACCUCACUCUAGCGAGCGCUCUCCCCGCUCUCUGGCAACGGAAAGAACAAGUUGGAUCCUAUCCCCAUUCUACACCAAGCUGUCGCUUCUUCGUACGAAUGAACUCUUCUACCGAGCCGUCUUCCUCCGACCCACCACUUUGAAGCUCAGUAUCGGGACGUUGUGGGCGAGUUUAGUUUAGUUUUAGUUUACUUUGGAGACACUUUAGAGAGUUCCUGGCGUCCUGUCCCAUCCUCGUCAACACUUUUGGGGCUUUUACGUCUCCAGGCACUUUUCUAUCCACCAACUCCUUAAAGCCGAAGGAGCCUGCGAAGCAUCCGUGAAUUCAGUCUCAAGAUCCUUGCGGGAUAUGUACCAGUGCAUCCGUCUCCCCUGCGGAUGGACAAGUUGCCAAGUCAGCUCCCCGCGCCGUUAGGGGGCAGUGUCUGAAAUAUACAAAAAUAAAAGCCACACUCCCCUCCCUCAUUUAUCACAAUACUUAAAUAUUUCAGAUAAAUUCAACAGUUUUCCCAAGUAAAUGUUUUUUUUUCCAUUCUAAAGGUGGCAAAUGCAACAAGAAGAAAUGUGCUUGGGAUAAUACGAUUGUUUAUAUUCACUUGGUAUCGAAUUAUAGCAAUUUGCAGCAUAUUUGAAUAGAUUGCGUCAAUGUAAAUAAAAUAACUGGAAAUAAUUGUAAAAUGUACGAAUUGU